rnacentral:rRNA from 1 species
AAAGAAAUCGUUAAGGGCGUAUGGCGGAUGCCUAGGCUUUCAGAGGCGACGAAGGACGUGGUAAGCUGCGAAAAGCUGCGGGGAUUGGCACACACGAAUUGAUCCGCAGAUGUCCGAAUGGGGCAACCCG